CCUACGGGGGGCAGCAGUAGGGAAUCUUCCACAAUGGACGAAAGUCUGAUGGAGCAACGCCGCGUGAGUGAAGAAGGGUUUCGGCUCGUAAAGCUCUUUUGGUAGGGAAGAAAGAUAGAGGGAGUAACUGGCCUUUAUUUGACGGUAAUUACUUAGAAAGUCACGGCUAACUACGUGCCAGCAGCCGCGGUUAUUCGUAGGUUGCAAGCGGUGUCCGGCUUUAUUGGGCGUAAAGCGAGUGCAGGCGGUAC
rnacentral:rRNA from 1 species